UUUAUACGGUGAAACUGCGAAUGGCUCAUUAAAUCAGUUAUCGUUUAUUUGAUAGUACCUUACUACAUGGAUACCUGUGGUAAUUCUAGAGCUAAUACAUGCUGAAAACCUCGACUUCGGAAGGGGUGUAUUUAUUAGAUAAAAAACCAAUGCCCUUCGGGGCUCCUUGGUGAAUCAUAAUAACUUAACGAAUCGCAUGGCCUUGCGCCGGCGAUGGUUCAUUCAAAUUUCUGCCCUAUCAACUUUCGAUGGUAGGAUAGUGGCCUACCAUGGUGGCAACGGGUAACGGGGAAUUAGGGUUCGAUUCCGGAGAGGGAGCCUGAGAAACGGCUACCACAUCCAAGGAAGGCAGCAGGCGCGCAAAUUACCCAAUCCCGACACGGGGAGGUAGUGACAAUAAAUACUGAUACGGGGCUCUUUUGGGUCUCGUAAUUGGAAUGAGUACAAUCUAAAUCCCUUAACGAGGAACAAUUGGAGGGCAAGUCUGGUGCCAGCAGCCGCGGUAAUUCCAGCUCCAAUAGCGUAUAUUAAAGUUGUUGCAGUUAAAAAGCUCGUAGUUGAACCUUGGGUUCGGCCGGCCGGUCCGCCUCACCGCGAGUACUGUCCGGCCGUUCCUUUCCUUCUGGGGAAUCCCAUGGCCUUCACUGGCUGUGGGGGGAACCAGGACUUUUACUGUGAAAAAAUUAGAGUGUUCAAAGCAGGCCUUUGCUCGAAUACAUUAGCAUGGAAUAAUAGAAUAGGACGUGUGGUUCUAUUUUGUUGGUUUCUAGGACCGCCGUAAUGAUUAAUAGGGAUAGUCGGGGGCGUCAGUAUUCAGCUGUCAGAGGUGAAAUUCUUGGAUUUGCUGAAGACUAACUACUGCGAAAGCAUUCGCCAAGGAUGUUUUCAUUAAUCAGGGAACGAAAGUUAGGGGAUCGAAGACGAUCAGAUACCGUCGUAGUCUUAACCAUAAACUAUGCCGACUAGGGAUCGGGCGGGAUUCUACAAUGACCCGCUCGGCACCUUACGAGAAAUCAAAGU
rnacentral:rRNA from 1 species